rnacentral:ribozyme from 1 species
AAAGAAACGACGAGAAAGAAGAAAAAAUGCAGAAUGAAAGGACUUACCUUCCUUCAUUUUUUAUUCUUUUUU